AUUGAACGCUGGCGGCAGGCCUAACACAUGCAAGUCGAGCGGAUGAAGGGAGCUUGCUCCUGGAUUCAGCGGCGGACGGGUGAGUAAUGCCUAGGAAUCUGCCUGGUAGUGGGGGAUAACGUCCGGAAACGGGCGCUAAUACCGCAUACGUCCUGAGGGAGAAAGUGGGGGAUCUUCGGACCUCACGCUAUCAGAUGAGCCUAGGUCGGAUUAGCUAGUUGGUGGGGUAAAGGCCUACCAAGGCGACGAUCCGUAACUGGUCUGAGAGGAUGAUCAGUCACACUGAAAUUGAGAACCGGCCCCACUCCCUAGGGGGGGAAGCGGGGGGAAAAUUUGGCAAAGGGGCGAAAGCCUAACCCAGCCAUGCCGGGUGUGUAAAAAAGGUUUUCGGUUUGUAAAGCACUUUAGGUUGGGGGGAAGGGCAGAAAUUUAAACCCUUGCUGUUUUAACUUUACCAACAAAAAAAGCACCGGCAAACUUCGU
rnacentral:rRNA from 1 species